rnacentral:rRNA from 1 species
GAUGAACGCUGGCGGCGUGCUUAACACAUGCAAGUCGAACGGAAAGGCCCAAGCUUGCUUGGGUACUCGAGUGGCGAACGGGUGAGUAACACGUGGGUGAUCUGCCCUGCACUUCGGGAUAAGCCUGGGAAACUGGGUCUAAUACCGGAUAGGACCACUUCUUGGAUGUUGUGGUGGAAAGAUUUUUCGGUGUGGGAUGAGCUCGCGGCCUAUCAGCUUGUUUGUGGGGUAAUGGCCUACCAAGGCGUCGACGGGUGGCCGGCCUGAGAGGGUGUACGGCCACAUUGGGACUGAGAGGCGGCCCAGACUGCUACGGGAGGCAGCAGUGGGGAAUAUUGCACAAUGGGCGCAAGCCUGAUGCAGCGACGCCGCGUGGGGGAUGACGGCCUUCGGGUUGUAAACUCCUUUCGCUAGGGAAGAAGCGUUUUUGUGACGGUACCUGGAGAAGAAGCACCGGCUAACUACGUG